rnacentral:rRNA from 1 species
UACAUGGGGUGCAAACGUUGCUCGGAAUUAUUGGGCGUAAAGCGCGCGUAGGCGGUUACUUAAGUCGGAUGUGAAAGCCCUCGGCUUAACUGAGGAAGUGCACCCGAAACUGAGUAGCUAGAGUACGAAAGAGGGUCGCGGAAUUCCCGGUGUAGAGGUGAAAUUCGUAGAUAUCGGGAGGAACACCGGUGGCGAAGGCGGCUCACUGGUCCAUUACUGACGCUGAGGUGCGAAAGCGUGGGGAGCAAACAGG